CUCACAGCUGCCCUUCUUCUCUCUCUUAGAAGGAAGAGGAAGGGGGGGGAUCAAACACAGUAUUUUGGUUACCAUCAAACAGAAGUCUCCACAGAGAGGAGGCUAUCUUCAGAUUUUACACAGAGUUGUUAUAUAAGACACCUCCCUUUCAUUUCCAGAGAUGAUUUUUAAACUAUGACAAGCUGAUUUAAAGUUUACAUGCUGUGGACAGGCUACUAUAUUUAAUGUAGUUAUGGGCCUUUGAUUUUGUAACUGUUUGUGUGAGAUUUACAUGAACUCUGGUGUGUAGAUUCUCCAUCUUUAGCAUGGCCUGUCUGACCAACCACAAUGGAUACAAACAGGAAUGAAAUGGACAUGUGGAGCUCAGAGGACAGCAUUUUGACUCAGACAGUUCAACCUGUGGAAAAUUCAAUCAAGAGCUGAAAUAUGAAUCUGGUGGUCUUAUAGAAAAACUAUCUGCAACUAAGGAAGCUAAUUUUAAAGAGAUGAAUUAUACCUUGAAUCUGUAAGGACAUUUUAUUAUGUUGAAGACAAUUUGAAAUAUGAUGAAGAUUUUCGAUUGAUUUUACAAUAUAUUUUGCCAUUCUGCU
rnacentral:lncRNA from 1 species